UUCGGACCUCCGAUCAAGCAAGAGG
rnacentral:rRNA from 2 species